GCCUAGCAACAGUGGCCUAGCAACAGCUUACAUCAUCACCUGCUUCCGGGUACAAGCCAGGUGCCUCAGCUUAUAAGAAGACUGCUACCCAACACUCUCUCCCUUUCUUCACUCUCUCUUUCUUGUCCCCACAUGUUCCCGGCUGGCCUCUUCCUCCUCUCUCUUUUUAUCUUUCUCCCCUCCUUUUUCUGCCCCCAUCCAGCCCUCCCCCUGCCCCUAACAAAUCUUCUUUAUACUAGGCCUGAGGGAUGGUGUGAUUCCUCAGAGGGAGACCUUUUCUGGGCUCACUAACUGUCCUGUCACCUCCACCACAAUUAUACCGCAUUAUGAUUGUGGUUUGAAUAUGCUUGUCCUAGGGAGUGGCAUUAUUAGGAGGUAUGGCCUUGUUGGAGGAAGUGUGUCACUGUGGGGGUGGACAAUAAGACCCUCCUCCUAGCUGCCUGGGAGACAGUCUAUCCUGGAUGCAGUCAGGUCAAGAUGCAGAACUCUCAGCUCCUUUUCCAGAACUGUGUCUGCCUGGAUUCUGCUGUGCUACCUACUGUGAUGAUAAUGGACUGAACCUCUGAAACUGUCCACAUCCAUAUGUGUGAAAGUGCAUGAGGAGGACAUGGAAUGAUGCCACAAUAAACAGUUGCUAUCAAGGCUAAAAACAAAGAAGCUUUGGACAAAUUUGAACUCAAAAGAAUCCAGUACUUCAAACAUAAAAAGAAUCAUAUAACCUGAUAGUGAGGAUUUCUGGACCUAGAUAAGUAGGACUGGAAAGAAAGAGGCCUGGACAAACAAAAAGGAAAAAAAAAAAAAAAAAAAAAGAGUGUGGGCAAUGGGAAAAUCUGACCUGGAAGGAGGUCAGGACCAAAAAAAAAAAAAAAAA